CCCAGACUCCUACGGGAGGCAGCAGUGGGGAAUAUUGCACAAUGGGGGAAACCCUGAUGCAGCGACGCCGCGUGAGUGAAGAAGUAUUUCGGUAUGUAAAGCUCUAUCAGCAGGGAAGAAAAUGACGGUACCUGACUAAGAAGCCCCGGCUAACUACGUGCCAGCAGCCGCGGUAAUACGUAGGGGGCAAGCGUUAUCCGGAUUUACUGGGUGUAAAGGGAGCGUAGACGGAUGGAUAAGUCUGAAGUGAAAGCCCGCGGCUCAACUGCGGGACUGCUUUGGAAACUGUGCAUCUUGAGUACGGGAGGGGCAGGCGGAAUCCCUGGUGUAGCGGUGAAAUGCGUAGAUAUCAGGAGGAACACCGGCGGCGAAGGCGGCCUGCUGGACCGAAACUGACGUUGAGGCUCGAAAGCGUGGGGAGCAAACAGGAUUAGAUACCCCAGUAU
rnacentral:rRNA from 1 species